rnacentral:tRNA from 1 species
AGCGGGUAUAGUUUAGU